UGGAGAGUUUGAUCCUGGCUCAGAUUGAACGCUGGCGGCAGGCCUAACACAUGCAAGUCGAGCGGAAACGAGUUAUCUGAACCUUCGGGGAACGAUAACGGCGUCGAGCGGCGGACGGGUGAGUAAUGCCUAGGAAAUUGCCCUGAUGUGGGGGAUAACCAUUGGAAACGAUGGCUAAUACCGCAUGAUGCCUACGGGCCAAAGAGGGGGACCUUCGGGCCUCUCGCGUCAGGAUAUGCCUAGGUGGGAUUAGCUAGUUGGUGAGGUAAGGGCUCACCAAGGCGACGAUCCCUAGCUGGUCUGAGAGGAUGAUCAGCCACACUGGAACUGAGACACGGUCCAGACUCCUACGGGAGGCAGCAGUGGGGAAUAUUGCACAAUGGGCGCAAGCCUGAUGCAGCCAUGCCGCGUGURUGAAGAAGGCCUUCGGGUUGUAAAGUACUUUCAGUCGUGAGGAAGGYRKYGUMGUUAAUAGCKGCRUUGUUUGACGUUAGCGACAGAAGAAGCACCGGCUAACUCCGUGCCAGCAGCCGCGGUA
rnacentral:rRNA from 1 species